rnacentral:tmRNA from 1 species
CCUAUAUGAGGUCGUGCCGGGUUCCACCCGGCUAUGGCGAUAAACCAUGGCGUAGAAUAGAUGCAGCGGACCCGGGGGCAGUACCCGGCGGCUCCACCAUCUGCGCCGCGCGAGCGGUGCGUGCGAACGCAUCGUCCGGGCGGCCCAGCUGACGGGGCCGAACCAGGAUCGACGUGUAUUGAAAGGCGCCGUCUUCGCUCGGAAUGGGACCACCGCAACGGCCCAUUACACAAGUGCCAACGAUAACGAAGCACUCGCGAUUGCGGCGUAACUGAUGGCCUAACGGCCUGACGUUACACCAAAAUAGCGCGGUUGGACCCCACCGGGCAACAGAAG